GGUGCGAAUCAGUUUCAGCGGCUAGGUGUGUGUUCGAGUGGCUAUCUAUGUGGGCUCGGGCAGUUACCGCCGUUACUCCUGACGUCGCCCCUCGUCGCUCGUACCGCUCGGGCAGCUCGUCGGACACCCCGCGGGUUCCCGUUCGGAGGUGGUACCGCGUCGACUACCCGCACCUGCGCGAGCCCGACCAGAGGUACCAGCACGUCCGGCGGGACCACCGCGCGGCGGUGGCCCUACGGACGCACGCCGAGCGCGUCGUGCACCUCGAGCAACCGCCGGACGAGCCCCUCGACCUCGAGCGGCUCGACUACGCAGCCCUCCGGUGGUCCGCCGGCGACCUCGUCGAGCCGCCGCGCGACGCCGCCACGAUGCGCGACCAGUGCCGCACGGUCCUGACGCCGAUGGACGCGGCGGACGAGGACCCUCGGGCCUACCGGCUCCUCGAGGCGCGGCGCGUCGUACUCUAGCUGUACAAGUAGGUGGAGUAGGGCGAGUAGCGGGAGCAGCUGUUAAGGUGACGUCUAUCAGCGGCACAGUUCCGACUACUCCCCCACGAGUGACAUCAGUGUCUAUCAAGUUUAGCAGUGUAGUCCUAAGGUUUGUUUCCUCGAUGGUUUGAGACACCAUAACCUCUUGUGGGUAAACAUCCUUUUCACCUGGACGCUCUUGUCUUAUAGCAACUGUAACUUCUUGAACACCUCGAAACAUGGGCAUACCUUCUCCGAACGCGUCCUAAGUGUUCCAAGCUAAAGACAGUCUAGAACCUACGAUGUCUUUUAAAGAGUCUCUUCUACUAUCAACCCACCCCUCCUAAACCCUUCCACAUGUUCCCGGUCAACGGACCACCUGAAUUACAACGGUAGUUUUCUCGACUACUCGUGCGUCGUUACGAACUUCAGUUGUCACUUAACGUCGAACGUUUCGAAGUCGUACGGUUACACUAAUCCAAUAACCCCACCACGUAGGUACCCUUUCUUUCCUAAGAUCACAUACUGAAGUACGUUUUACCAAGGAACCUAGCAAUGUAUAUACUGUCUUGUUUUCCCGGUUACGAUUUGACCAGAUUCGCUAAGUUCUAUUAAUGUCCCAAUUGUCUCCCUUAACAAAUGGACGUAUUCGUGAGGUACAAGACCGAACAGGUGUCUCUGAACUUUGGUGUAUUACAGGAGAACCUAACAUUGUACUAGGGUUUCUAACGACUAAAACCAAGUCGAUCUCGUGACUCAAGUCUGUAUCGUCUUCUCGUGUGCUCAUCCCAGCACCCUUGAUCACCAAUGUUUCGGGGUCUCAUACGUAGAGCUCCUCGAAUGAGCGACUUCUGUCUACACAAGUCGAAACCGCAGAACCAAAACCACUAAUAAUCACCGGCUUUCUUAUGGUAUGAGCUGUUCGUUCCCCUAUGACAACCACUAGAACAUGCUCUACGGACCGUAUACACCUUCCUGGUUUCCAACGUACUCGAACACCUAGGCAACAAUCCCCUACCUAUACUUCAGCGGCUCUAUUAUUCUACACGAGUCCACCGCGACGAAACACGAGUCCUUCUAGGGCGUCUGGCCGGGCGGUACUGUCUACAACGACGUUACGACUUGAGACUUUCGUAUUCGAGUGGCUACCUCGGAUUCGUCGGGCGGCGCGACUAGGUACCCACACGACUCUCUCUGUGCUGUAGCUGUAUGCACCCGGUUAGUUCGUCCUGUUAUCUGUAUUGGUAUUGCUCAAGUCGAGGUUACAGCUGGUCUCAAGCUUAGUAAGAUCUGGGUCUCCAAACUAUAUUACCUUUUGUAAGUCAUCAUCGUAUACAUGUUAUUUUUACAUUCGUUCCUAAUACCCGAAAAAUGCUGUGUCCAUCACGUGUAUAAGCUCUAUAAUUCUGGUCAAAACUUAUCACUUCAUUUAUUUGUACAAAGACACCAUGGUUGAUGGUCUGACUAAAAGGUAGUCGAUGUAUAACAUUAAGUUUGCACGCUACAAAGCACAGAACAACGAGGAUAAAAGACG
rnacentral:rRNA from 1 species